GGAAGCGCAUCAGAGGCGUAAAUUUGUGCAGGGGAAUGUGUGUGUCUAAGCUGCAGCGGAGUAACAGCACGUAGUAUUUGCAAACGAACAGGAGAAAACGUCCAGAUCAGUUACUUGAAAUCGCAUUUGAUAUAUAAAACAAACUUGUCACAUCUAAGAACUAGGAAAAUACGACAACGGUAAGGACAGAAACGAACAUGUGCAAUGAAUUUUACCAAAAUAUACGAAUUAAAGAUCGGAUAAUAAAAUCAAUGCAGACGGUUUUCUAACAUCCCUCAUGUAUGCAGAUGUCUGGUGUUCUGAUUUAGACCUGUGGCUUAUUUUGGUGUGCAGCCACAGGACACACUCAGUGUAAAAUAGAACCUAAAGCGCACAUAUAAUUUGAGUGACAACAUAAUGUGAUGCAUCAUAUUCCAUAACCUUACAAUAACUUGUAUGUGUGUAUUUCCAGGAAAAUAAUAAGAAAUCCACUGAGAAUGAUACAACUUCUGUGACCCAUUAUUGGGUAAAGUAAAACAAUAACUUGUGUACCUACAAAAAGGUGGGCUCAUCCUUAAUUCAUUAACAUUUUGCUUCAAGCACUGGAACUGAGUCCAAACUGAAAUAUGAUGUAAAUAGACAGUUGUAUUAUAGAAGAUGAGAAGCAGAAACUCCCAGGAAUACCUGUAAUGCUGCCUUUAGAGCACGUAGUUCUCCGGUUGGCCAACUCUGAAGUUGCUGGGUUUAAGACUGAUGAACUACAAGAGGAAAUUAUCAACAAGUGAAUCCUUCAAAGGAUGGUGUAUUGGCAAGUAUUCCACAGGGGAUACUCAGGAUCCACUAUUUUAUGUGUAUUAAUAAUCUUGUGUUGCCUAUAUAUUUAUUGUAAAUGUUGUCACAAUAGCGGUAAGAAAUUGUGUCGAAUAGCGAGUAUAGACUGUUGGGUCAUAAUUUGUAUGACAAAUAACGAGAUAUACCCCAACUCGCCAAACAGAUGUAGACUAUGGUGAGUGGUUAAUGAAUCAUUCCCCUACAGCCAGACAGAGACUAUGGAGGGCUGCUAGUCCUCUACCAAUGAGAACUAGGAACAUUGAAUCCCAUUCUUCAAAACCAGAUAUCCCACAAUUAUGCCCAAAGUGAUACAAUCUAGUGGUAAAAUAUUGACAUGUUUUGUGAAAAUACGUGUAACUCUGUCGAAAAUAAAGAAUGAUAGCAGUCGUAAUUUUGUAAGAUGUGGUCAGAGGUAAAAAUGUAAAAUGAGUGUUAUGUUGUAUAAUACUGUUGACAAUGAAGAAAGAUACCAGCCUUAACUUUGUGAGCUGGAGUCACAUGAAAAUGUAAAAUGAAUGUAAAUAAACGGAAAUAAUAA